rfam:Picea glauca, whole genome shotgun sequence.
UCAAUGGUGUCUUUUGACACCACCUUUUCUAUCAAACUUUAAAUAU